AAUCCAUAAUAAACAUUGUGAUAUUACCAGUGAUUUGA
rnacentral:guide_RNA from 1 species